AGUGAACGCUGGCGGUAUGCCUAACACAUGCAAGUCGAACGGACGCACAGUAAGAGCUCGCCUCUACUGUUGGCGACUGGCGGACGAGUAAGGAAUACAUAGCCUUCCUCUUUUUCUUGGGGGACAUCGUAGGGCAACAUACACUACCACAGAAUACGUUCUACGGCUUAAAGCAGAGGUGCUUCGCGCUUUGCCCGUCUCAUUGAGAUGGUGCCGCAUUAGCUAGUUGGCGAGGUAAGGGCACACCAAGGCAACGAUGCGUAGCUGGCCUGAGAGGAUGAUCAGCCACACUGGAACUGAGACACGGUCCAGACUCCUACGGGAGGCAGCAGUGGGGAAUAUUGGACAAUGGGCGCAAGCCUGAUCCAGCCAUGCCGCGUGAGUGAUGAAGGCCUUCGGAUUGUAAAGCCCUUUUGUUAGGAAAGAAAAGCAGCGUAUGAAUAUCCCGCUGUUUUGACGGUACCCAAAGAGUAAGCACCGGCUAACUUCGUG
rnacentral:rRNA from 1 species